AUGAGGAGGAGCGGUUCAGCGUCGGCCUUCAUCAGGUUUAAAGUCAAACGAGGAAGGAAUGUGGCAGAAAUGAACAGGGUCACUGGAAUGUUUUCAUUUUCCUCCCACAUCCAGUCGAGUCUUCAUGUCCUCACUGACAGACAAAGCUCUCUUCUGCAGUCAGAACAUUUCAACAUGGAGGAAUGAGAUCACGGUGAGACAGAUCCACCAAACAAAUCACAGCCACUGGAAUCUAAUGAGAGAAAUGAAAUGAAAUGAAAUGAAAUUAGUAAAUUAAAAUGUGUUAAAUUAUAUUUAUUUGCAAAGAAUGUAAAUACACGUAUUUAAAAAAAAUGCAUUA
ensembl:lncRNA